rnacentral:rRNA from 1 species
AGCGAACGCUGGCGGCAGGCUUAACGCAUGCAAGUCGAGCGGGCACUCCGGUGUCAGCGGCAGACGGGUGAGUACCACGUGGUAACGUACCCUUUGGUUCGGUACCACGCUGGGUAACUAGACCUCAUACCGGAUACGCCAUUUCGGGAUAAGGCUUUCUGCCGAAGGAUCGGCCCGGGUCUGAUUAGCUAGUUGGUGGGGUAAUCGCAUACCAAGGCGACGAUCAGUAGCUGGUCUGAUACCAUGAUCAGCCACACUGGGACUGCGACACGGCCCAGACUCCGAGGGGGGGGAGCAGUGGGGAGUAUUAGGGGAUGAGCGCAAGCCCAGUCCAGCCACGCCGGGUGUGUGAGGAAUGCCUUAGGGUUGUGAAGCUGUUUGGGCCGGAACGAUAAUGACGGUACCGGGAGAAUAAGCCCCGGCUAACUUCGUG